AUCCAGAGUGGCUGCAGGGGUUCUUCCUUUCGAGCGAGAGAUGGUCGGAUGCUCUGAAACCCAAAAUGCGGAUUGUUGCCCUCUUUGUGAAAUAGCAAAAGAUUCAGCCUUACAUCUAUUUCAACGUUGUCCCUAUGCCAAAGGAAUGUGGUAUGGUGGUAGAUGGGGUUUUCGCAUUGAAAUGAUCCAAGCUAAAUCUGUAAAGGAGUUCAUUGAACAAAUAGUUGACCCCCCAAAGGAAUUAUUAGCAGAAAGAGUCACCAAAGAUGAAUUCACACUGUAUGCAGUAGUGGCAAUGAAAAUCCUUUGGGAUGCACGGGUGAAAGCUUUGGUUUCAGAGACUAAAGAAAGCAUAAAUCAGCUAGCCCAUCGUCUUAACACACAGUAUGACUCUAACUUGAGAUCACUUAGGACUACGAGGGGAACUGAAGAGCAAAAAAGGGAAAGUGCUUGGCCCAAACCACCUGAUCAACUGGUGAAGCUUAACUUCGAUGCGUUGUGUGAUCAAAAUAAUGUAGGCUUGGCUGUGGUUGUCAGAAAUCAAGAGGGGGAUGGCAGAGCAAUCAGACGUGGGAUAAGCCUCUGCAGUAAGAUAGGCAAUGCCAUUGGCAAAUGAGGAGAGACUUGAACAAGUUGUGGUAGAGGGUAUAAAGCUACUAUCAUCAACUUCAUUGUAAAUUCAGCUUGCAAGCUCGGCUGGGAAUGUGGGAGCAUAAUGAAGGAUAUUUUGGCUUUGGCUUCUUUUUUCAGAUAAUAAUGUAGUGAACAGCCUCAUAAAAUGGGCACUGGGGUCUAAUGACUCUAGUUUAUUGUGGCUUGCAAAUGUUCCCCCAACAGUAAGCAGAUAGAAGUUUGUUACCUCUCUCUCCUCUUUCUAAUAUGUUGCUCACACAGUCACACAUCCUGGUGGACUAGCAUUCGUUUUUUGCUCUUCUUCAACAUGUGUAUUUGGACUAUGAUUUAUCAAUUUAUUAAUACUUAGCACCAGUUCUGAAAGGUCACUCAAAUGCUAAUGAGGUCUCUCUUGGAAUCUUCAACCCUUUUGAAGGAAGCAGAGCAUCUCUGCUUAGACGACUGCUUGCCAGAAACUGCACUACACUUGAAGAGCCAAAGUAGUCGACCAAGACAAAGCUGCAAGUCCAACGCAAGCACCCCACUGCCCCCAAUCAGCCUCUCGGUACUGACAAUUGACAAACCACUUCUCCAAGCCAACCAUCAUUAGCUGAAAAACUAUGGUAAACCUUAGAAUUAUUAAAAAUAUCUUGUUCUUGAAUAACCCCUAAAUUUGUUCUUCUCCAGUUGCCUAGGGUCAAACUUAUUGAAGACUUGACAGAGGCAAAAGUGUUGAAAAUGAGGAUUUCUUUCACCAUCUCACACACGCCAAAAAUAGAUCAUGCCCUACAUUGCAGCAUCAGUAAGACUUCUAUGGCUCUGGUUAUAAAUUGCUUUGAUUGAUGGAUUUACUAUGAAGUCAUUGUGUGGCCAUAGCUAAAGUUGAUGCAAAGGCAGCAACAUUCAUUGUGAGCUGGAACUGAAUGAACUUUUGACUGUUCUUAGAUACACACCUUCUCCAACUCAAAACUGUCAGCGCAGAAGUAAAUAACCAGGAGGACAAUAUUUGUGCUCUCCUUUGCCACUUCAGUGCCUUGGAUUCCCAUGGAAAGCCCAAUAAUUACAUGAUUCAUACUGGCAGUUCUCCCUUUCACUUCAGUAUGACCAGGCUGCUUGUCUUGUGCUAUUACUCUCAAGAAAGAGGCCUCACCGGAGAAUGAUGCUUCCUAUUGGUAGUUGAGGAAAGAAAAGAUGAAUGCUUUUCACAAGUGAGUGAAAAGGCAAAGACCAAGUUGCAAUUUCAAUAAAAGUACCUAAUUGCCCUCACUCUAGCCUCCCAGAAUUUGCUUAGGUCAUUGAGAUGCUUAUGUCUUACUCCAGGGUCUCACAAUCAGAGAUACCUAGCCAAGGCAUGAAAACUAUCAUGUAUUUCAUAGAAUAAGCCAAAGUUGUCUUCCAGCCAAAGGCAGACCUUUUGCAAUUGCCAACACCAUGAUUAUGACUAGCAGUGACAAUACGAACAAGUGCAUUGAAAUAUGUUGGUGCUGCCCAUCUCUCAAUACGUCCACCCUGAUGUCUCCACUCUUUAGGGAGAACUUUUCAAAUUGCCUGGAUUGCUUGAAGUUACAGACAGCAGAAACAGCAACAACCCGAACGACAGCAACAAUAAUACUCCCACCAUGAUAAUCGUAUGCUGUUUGAUUCCAAAGGCAGAGAGAUUAUUGCACAGGCCAAAAGUACAGUAACAGUGGUUGUCUUAAACGCUUUAAAGACAUAACUGAGUAGGCCUUUUGCUGGUUCUUUUUGGUUCCAAGAACCACAGCCAGUGCUUUUACUCCAGACUGACAUGAAGCCUCAAAGUUCUUAUUCCUCAUCAUGUAACUGAGCCACUUCAGAUCAACACUGAGAAAGGAAAUGGAUUUGUUAUGCAAGCAACCCUCAUCAACAGGCUGCACAUCAAUGGUCUUGGUCAAUUGGUGCUGUAUAUGUGAAAGAUCAGUUGUAAAUCAAUACACCAUCUUUGGUUCAUUGCUUAGUAGGUCUUGAUUUGUGGUCCUUCCUUCUGUUGCUUUUGGGUUACAUUGGUUGAUACCAAGAAGGUGAUAGAUGUUAUUGCUUCUUUAAAGGUACAUAUAAUCAGAACAUAAGUAGCAUCUGGCAGUUCCUCACUGUCUUAUGUGGACAAUUUGGAGGGACUUGAAUAACUGAACAUUUGAAGGCAUGGAAAAACUAGAUAAGAGAUCAAAUCUAGUUUCCUGAAUCUGCAAAUUGAAUGUUGUACAAUUUUUGGGGACCUUUUAAAUUUAUGAUUGUAAUUCUUUAAGAGGCUCUACAUUUUGAACACUACUCUUCUUUAAUAAAACUCAUUAAUUACUUAUAAAAAAA